GGAAGGUAUACGUGUGAAGCAACUGAAAGCUGAAACUGAUUACCGGCCACAAGCUGAAACGAGAGACAAUGGCAAAACUAGAUAUCCAAAGAAUUAUCAGGCAUGCGUGGACUUUAUGACCCUGAUGAAAAAUGCAGCCUGGGUUGCUACCACCAAAUUCCCCGUGGCAACCUUUCUGAUUGGGAAAUUUUCAAG